ACGCUGGCGGCAGGCUUAACACAUGCAAGUCGAACGGUAACAUAAAGAAGCUUGCUUCUUUGAUGACGAGUGGCGGACGGGUGAGUAAUGCUUGGGAAUCUAGCUUAUGGAGGGGGAUAACUACGGGAAACUGUAGCUAAUACCGCGUAGUAUCGGAAGAUGAAAGUGUGGGACCUUCGGGCCACAUGCCAUAGGAUGAGCCCAAGUGGGAUUAGGUAGUUGGUGAGGUAAAGGCUCACCAAGCCGACGAUCUCUAGCUGGUCUGAGAGGAUGACCAGCCACACUGGGACUGAGACACGGCCCAGUCUCCUACGGGAGGCAGCAGUGGGGAAUAUUGCGCAAUGGGGGCAACCCUGACGCAGCCAUGCCGCGUGAAUGAAGAAGGCCUUCGGGUUGUAAAGUUCUUUCGGUAGCGAGGAAGGCACUUAGUUUAAUAAACUAAGUGAUUGACGUUAACUACAGAAGAAGCACCGGCUAACUCCGUGCCAGCAGCCGCGGUAAUACGGAGGGUGCGAGCGUUAAUCGGAAUAACUGGGCGUAAAGGGCACGCAGGCGGUGACUUAAGUGAGGUGUGAAAGCCCCAGGCUUAACCUGGGAAUUGCAUUUCAUACUGGGUCGCUAGAGUACUUUAGGGAGGGGUAGAAUUCCACGUGUAGCGGUGAAAUGCGUAGAGAUGUGGAGGAAUACCGAAGGCGAAGGCAGCCCCUUGGGAAUGUACUGACGCUCAUGUGCGAAAGCGUGGGGAGCAAACAGGAUUAGAUACCCUGGUAGUCCACGCUGUAAACGAUGUCGAUUUGGGGGUUGAACUUUGAGUUUGGCGCCCGUAGCUAACGUGAUAAAUCGACCGCCUGGGGAGUACGGCCGCAAGGUUAAAACUCAAAUGAAUUGACGGGGGCCCGCACAAGCGGUGGAGCAUGUGGUUUAAUUCGAUGCAA
rnacentral:rRNA from 1 species